GACAGAGGGGGCAAGCGUUGCUCGGAAUUACUGGGCGUAAAGGGCGCGUAGGCGGCCUGCUAAGUCGAACGUGAAAUCCCUGGGCUCAACCCAGGAACUGCGUCCGAUACUGGUUGGCUUGAAUCCGGGAGAGGGAUGCGGAAUUCCAGGUGUAGCGGUGAAAUGCGUAGAUAUCUGGAGGAACACCGGUGGCGAAGGCGACAUCCUGGACCGGUAUUGACGCUGAGGCGCGAAAGCCAGGGGAGCAAACGGG
rnacentral:rRNA from 1 species